rnacentral:rRNA from 1 species
CGCGGCCUAUCAGCUUGUUGGUGGGGUGAUGGCCUACCAAGGCUUUGACAGGUAGCCGGCCUGAGAGGGCGACCGGCCACACUGGGACUGAGACACGGCCCAGACUCCUACGGGAGGCAGCAGUGGGGAAUAUUGCACAAUGGGCGGAAGCCUGAUGCAGCGACGCCGCGUGAGGGAUGACGGCCUUCGGGUUGUAAACCUCUUUCAGCAGGGACGAAGCGUAAGUGACGGUACCUGCAGAAGAAGCUCCGGCCAACUACGUGCCAGCAGCCGCGGUAAGACGUAGGGCGCGAGCGUUGUCCGGAUUUAUUGGGCGUAAAGAGCUCGUAGGCGGCUUGUCGCGUUGUUCGUGAAAAUUUACCGCUCAACGGUGAACUUGCGGGCGAUACGGGCAGGCUAGAGUACUGCAGGGGAGACUGGAAUUCCUGGUGUAGCGGUGAAAUGCGCAGAUAUCAGGAGGAACACCGGUGGCGAAGGCGGAUCUCUGGGCCGUAACUGACGCUGAGGAGCGAAAGCAUGGGGAGCGAACAGGCUUAGAUACCCUGGUAGUCCAUGCCGUAAACGUUGGGCGCUAGGUGUGGGGCCCUAUCCACGGAUUCCGUGCCGCAACUAACGCAUUAAGCGCCCCGCCUGGGGAGUACGG